CAGCAGCAGCAGUAAAGUGGAUCAAG
rnacentral:misc_RNA from 1 species